rnacentral:rRNA from 1 species
UACGUAGGGUCCUAGCUUUGUCCGGAAUUAUUGGGCGUAAAGAGCUCGUAGGCGGUUUGUCGCGUCUGCUGUGAAAACCUAAGGCUCAACCUUGGGCUUGCAGUGGGUACGGGCAGACUAGAGUGCGGUAGGGGUGACUGGAAUUCCUGGUGUAGCGGUGGAAUGCGCAGAUAUCAGGAGGAACACCGAUGGCGAAGGCAGGUCACUGGGCCGCAACUGACGCUGAGGAGCGAAAGCAUGGGGAGCGAACAGG